CACGUAGGGUGCGAGCGUUGUCCGGAAUUAUUGGGCGUAAAGAGCUCGUAGGCGGUUUGUCGCGUCUGCUGUGAAAACUCGGGGCUUAACUCCGGGCCUGCAGUGGGUACGGGCAGACUAGAGUGCGGUAGGGGAGACUGGAAUUCCUGGUGUAGCGGUGAAAUGCGCAGAUAUCAGGAGGAACACCGGUGGCGAAGGCGGGUCUCUGGGCUGACACUGACGCUGAGGCGCGAAAGCUAGGGGAGCGAACGGG
rnacentral:rRNA from 1 species